rnacentral:rRNA from 1 species
AUUGAACGCUGGCGGCAGGCCUAACACAUGCAAGUCGAACGAGUGGCGGACGGGUGAGUAAUGUCUGGGAAACUGCCUGAUGGAGGGGGAUAACUACGGGAAACGGUAGCAAAUACCGCAUACCAUCAGAUGUGCCCAGAUUGGAUUAGCUAGUUGGUGGGUUAACGGCUCACCAAGGCGACUAUCACUAGCUGGUCUGCGAGGAUGAACAGCCACACUGGAACGGAGACACGGUCCAGACUCCUACGGGAGGCAGCAGUGGGGAAUCUUGCACAAUGGGCGCAAGCCUGAUGCAGCCACGCCGCGUGUAUGAAGAAGGUCUUCGGGUUGUAAAACACUUUCAGUGGGGAGGCGUUACCUGCAGAAGAAGCACCGGCUAACUCCGUGCCAGCCGCCGCGGUAAUAC